GCAGGAGGGGAGGGCCAAACCGGCCGGGUGGAAAGGGGACUGUGCGAGUCAUAGGUUGCGGAAAGGGAGGAGAGUAGGGUCGAAGACGCAAAAUCAGGAGAGGAGGAAGAAGGAUUUAGCAGAAGGGAGAGAUGAUAAAUUGGAAGAAGAGAGAGUAGUGGGAGAGAGAGAGAGCAAAGAUUGUGAUGGGCUGAGUGGCUAGGGUUGAAGGAAAGGGAGACAGAAAAGGAAACAAAGUAGUGUUCAAAGACCUGGGCCCAGACUCACAAAACACUUCUUACGCAAAAACUUAAGAAUCUUAAGAAAAAAAAGUUCAUAAGAUAGUUCGUAAGAUUUAAUGAUUUUAUUUUGAAAUUCUCAAAUAUCUUCUUACAAAACAAAUGUUUGUUGCUAGGUAACCAUUUUAACUAGCUAUCUAGCUAGCAAUGGCAAUUAUGUUAGCAUAUUUCUUACUAAGAUUACUGUUCUAAAACAUGUUCUUGGGUUUAAAAUAAAUCAAUACUGAAACUUUCAGAUUAAGUUUGUGUGAAAAAACGUUCACUGUCCAGAGAGCGAGAGAGCGAGAGCGAGAGCGAAAUAUAUACCUAAGAUCACACAGGACAGCAGAUAAGAAUUACAACAGAUAGGAAAGACUGACCCUAGCCCCUGGCACAUAAACUAUUGCAACAUAGAUACUGGGGGUCGGGGGACACUGUCCAAAGUUAGCCCUGAACAGGGCCAACCAGGCAGUAUAUAACCCCACUCAAUUUCCCAAAGCACAGCCCCCACACCAAAGGGAUAUCAACAGACCAGUAACUUACCCCAUUGAGACAAGGCUGAGUAUAGCCCACAGCCCUGACUCCAGCUGUUUGCUUAGAAAUUCUAGGGGCAGAAUCAGAGGAGGCCACCCAUGAUGAUCUACUUCCCAAAGAUGUGUGCUGGCUGAGUGAAGGAAAAGCGGUGGAGGGAUUCUGUGAGCUGCAUGAUCACCUUCACAUUCUGGAAAUUGAGGAAUGUCUCUCCAAUGUUGCUUUUUUGGCUGACAUAUUCUGUCACUUAAACAGGUUAAAUCUGCAGUUACAAGGAAGCGGGAAAACAGUUGUGGACAUUGUGGGAAAAUGUGGCGGCCUUUACUAGGAAGCUUGAGUUUUUCAAUUUGGACUUGUCAUCUGGAAGGCUACUGCACUUCAGCGCGCUGAAGAAAUGACAGGCAGAGGGACCAGGCCGCAACAUUGUCCCAGAAGUGAUAGAAGAUUUCAUCAAUCAGCUAAGGGACAACUUCUCCACCAGAUUUGAAGACGAUAGCAGGCCCAAGGAUAUCAUUGCGUUUCUACGUGAUCCUCUCAGUCGCCCAGGUGGAGAAUUCUCCUCCCUUGCUAAGAAAACAAUACCCUUGCUGGAUGAGGCCACAAUUCAAACUGAGCUAAUUGAAUUCCAGACAUCGAGCCAAAUCAGCUAUGCGCUCAGGAGUGCCGAGUCCCUGUGUGCGUUUUGGGUGGCAUGCGCAGAGGAAUACAACACAAUAAAGAAACUAACAAUGUUUGGAUCGACUUACACCUGCGAGUACACCAUUUCCUCUAUUAACACAAUCAAGACUUACGACAGGAACUGGCUUUCACGAGCAGGCCAUCCCGAGACUCCCGGUACAGACGCAGACAUUUACAGACGUUGACAUUUUUUCUUUAAAUUAUUGUUUUAUGUAGAAUGCUCCAUUUUUGGCCAGUUGCCUUUGUAAGUAAGCCUAAUAAUAACUUUUAAAAAACACUUCUAUUAGGCCACAUUUUUUUCCCUUGUGAAAUAUACGUUUAAGCCACAUAGAAACCGGCUGAGGUAGGCUGUUUUAUAUAAGCCUAGGCUCGGAAGAAAUAGAUUAUUAAGUUUUGUUCUAUCAGCGACACCAUUUCUUUCCAGAAGCCACCUGUACUUACUGGUGGCACAGACUCCGUUUCAUCCUUUCCUACACUUAAAUUGCUCUUACCUAACGAUUGCAUCUGAAGCCGGGCUUGCAACUCGUUAUCCUCACCAUAAGGCAAUAGUUCUCCUGUAUGUUAUGAGUACAACGAGAAGGCAUAGUGUUACUUAGCGUUUUUGUCUGGUGGAGGUCCUGCAUAUCCAUGUCCAGAGAAAGCGUCCGGGGACAAAGCUAAGUGUAGGACAAAGCUAAGAAGUUAGUGUACUUGUUAAAUAGAGUUUGAUAAAAAAAAUCUUAAAAGUAAAAUGUGAAAAGUUUGGCACUUAGGGAGAGUAGAAACAAACAGCCUAUGGACUGAUCAAAAACCUCUACCUUGUUUGGGGAGCACGAUGGCCGCUGCACGCAUUCGGCAGUCGGCCAUCAUCUUGUCAACGUAUGACUACCGCAUUGGUUAUUGCAAAUCGGAACACCAGAGCAACACUGAUUUAUCGCACUUUCCUUUACCUGAGACCAGUGAUGCCGGAACCGAGGCAGUCAGCUCACAUCCACACACUGCUAACAGAGCACUUCCAGGAAGCACCACUGAACACUACACAAGUAGCCAGAGCAACACGCACGGUCAGCAAGAACUCAGAAGUCUACAAAUAUAUCAUGAAGUUUGGCCUGAACCGGUUGAAGACAACUUGAAAUCAUUCUACAUACAGAGGAAUGAGCUGUCAGUGGAACAAAGGUCUGGGGCACAAGAGUUAUAAUUCCAAAUAACCUGAGAAGGGCAGUGCUAAAAGAAAUUCAUCAGGGCAUCGUGAAAAUUAAAGCAUUGGCUGAGCAAAUCGUAACGGACAUUAAUUUCAAACCUAUUCCAGACGUUCAUGAGGCAGAACAAGAUCCUGCACUCAAACAGCGCACCCAACUUCAAACGGGCUGGCAGACAGGAAUGUUCAGACAUAACAAAAUGGCACGAAAAGCUUGCCGAUACCACUCUGGACAUCGAGGACAAGAUCUCCUUGUUCUUACUGCAGUACCGCACCACACCGAACUGCACUACAGGACAAACACCUGCUGACCUGUUCUUGAGCAGACAUGUUCGUACCAGACAAUCAAACCAGCACAGCCAAAACUGUCCGCAGGAUAAGGUACCGACAAAAGUUCUGCCAUGACCAACGUGCAGUGGAACGGUAAUUCAGUGUGGAUGAUGCCGUGUACUUGCAAAAUACAACGGGAGGAGGACCGAGAUGGAUACCUGGGUUUGUCACACAGACAGGUCCGGUAUAUUACAUAGUGAUAAGCAGAAACACAGACAGUCUACGACGACACUGGGAUCAGCUGAGAGCACGAGUUGCUACUGACAACGGACAUAACUGAUGAUCAGGGGUACAUGUUUGAGAACGAACAGGGGCACAACGACACUGUACAGGUAAACGUCCACGUCAGUCUCACAGGGUCAUCAGACCACACCAGCGUUACAGUCUGAAACACACACAGUUAUUAAAGACUUUUACACACUGAUAAGAGACUGAAAAAAUGACUUGUGAUGAAAACAAAUGUGUGGAAAAUAAGGUUGUAAAAAAGAAACGUUGUCAAACUGUUCAUUUUUGAUGACACAUUGAAAUGUUACAGGUUUAAAACAAAUACUCUUUUAGUCGUUUACAGUACAAAAGAUAAAUGCUCUUUUAGUUGUUUACAGUACAGUAUAAGCAUUUACCGGGAAUUGUUGUUAUCAAGACCAAAAGGGGGAUGGAGUGUAUUAAUAACUACAUGGUUUAAUUAUGGUAUUACAUUAUAGGGUUGAUCGUAAUAUUGGUAUGAGCAGGAUGCUGUACCUUAGUCAGGUCAAAGUACAUUUGUUUUCAUCACAAGAAUGCACGCAAAUUCAUUCUGUUAUCAAACUUGAUGCUAAACAGCAUGGCUGUGUCUUGGCUUGUUAAUAUACCACAGUAUCUUUGAGAAA